rnacentral:rRNA from 1 species
GAUGAACGCUGGCGGCGUGCCUAAUACAUGCAAGUCGAGCGAACGGACGAGAAGCUUGCUUCUCUGAUGUUAGCGGCGGACGGGUGAGUAACACGUGGAUAACCUACCUAUAAGACUGGGAUAACUUCGGGAAACCGGAGCUAAUACCGGAUAAUAUUUUGAACCGCAUGGUUCAAAAGUGAAAGACGGUCUUGCUGUCACUUAUAGAUGGAUCCGCGCUGCAUUAGCUAGUUGGUAAGGUAACGGCUUACCAAGGCAACGAUGCAUAGCCGACCUGAGAGGGUGAUCGGCCACACUGGAACUGAGACACGGUCCAGACUCCUACGGGAGGCAGCAGUAGGGAAUCUUCCGCAAUGGGCGAAAGCCUGACGGAGCAACGCCGCGUGAGUGAUGAAGGUCUUCGGAUCGUAAAACUCUGUUAUUAGGGAAGAACAUAUGUGUAAGUAACUGUGCACAUCUUGACGGUACCUAAUCAGAAAGCCACGGCUAACUACGUGCCAGCAGCCGCGGUAAUACGUAGGUGGCAAGCGUUAUCCGGAAUUAUUGGGCGUAAAGCGCGCGUAGGCGGUUUUUUAAGUCUGAUGUGAAAGCCCACGGCUCAACCGUGGAGGGUCAUUGGAAACUGGAAAACUUGAGUGCAGAAGAGGAAAGUGGAAUUCCAUGUGCAGCGGUGAAAUGCGCAGAGAUAUGGAGGAACACCAGUGGCGAAGGCGACUUUCUGGUCUGUAACUGACGCUGAUGUGCGAAAGCGUGGGGAUCAAACAGGAUUAGAUACCCUGGUAGUCCACGCCGUAAACGAUGAGUGCUAAGUGUUAGGGGGUUUCCGCCCCUUAGUGCUGCAGCUAACGCAUUAAGCACUCCGCCUGGGGAGUACGACCGCAAGGUUGAAACUCAAAGGAAUUGACGGGGACCCGCACAAGCGGUGGAGCAUGUGGUUUAAUUCGAAGCAACGCGAAGAACCUUACCAAAUCUUGACAUCCUUUGACAACUCUAGAGAUAGAGCCUUCCCCUUCGGGGGACAAAGUGACAGGUGGUGCAUGGUUGUCGUCAGCUCGUGUCGUGAGAUGUUGGGUUAAGUCCCGCAACGAGCGCAACCCUUAAGCUUAGUUGCCAUCAUUAAGUUGGGCACUCUAAGUUGACUGCCGGUGACAAACCGGAGGAAGGUGGGGAUGACGCCAAAUCAUCAUGCCCCUUAUGAUUUGGGCUACACACGUGCUACAAUGGACAAUACAAAGGGCAGCGAAACCGCGAGGUCAAGCAAAUCCCAUAAAGUUGUUCUCAGUUCGGAUUGUAGUCUGCAACUCGACUACAUGAAGCUGGAAUCGCUAGUAAUCGUAGAUCAGCAUGCUACGGUGAAUACGUUCCCGGGUCU